rnacentral:lncRNA from 1 species
UUUGAAUGAUGUUCUUGUCAAUUUGAAAUCGACCAAACAUGGCAUAGGUUUCAAACUUCUCAUAAAAAUUUGAAUGAUGUUCUUGUCAAUUUGAAAUCGACCAAACAUGGCAUAGGAUUCAAAAACGAGCCUAAAGAAAAAGUUGAAGCCAUCCCCCAACAACCCAAGGCUCAACCUAGGAUAAAUAAAAUAGACAUUCAUCCUAGAAAUAACCAUCCUAGAAUCAAUAUGCAUCAUAGACCAAACACUAGAAGAAACUUUGAACAUUUUAGAACGCCUAGAAAUGGCCUUCAACAAUCGCAACCUAGACAUACUCGACCUAGAAAGAAUUAUUCUAGAAACGCUG